rnacentral:tRNA from 1 species
GUUGUCGUGGCUGAGUGGUUAAGUCGCUAAAAUAGAAACUUUUUGGAUCUUCCCGCGCAGGUUCGAAUCCUGUCGACAUCG